CGGACGGGUGAGUAACGCGUGGGCAACCUGCCCUGUACUGGGGGAUAACACCUGGAAACAGGUGCUAAUACCGCAUAAGCGCGCUGUGCCGCAUGGCGCGGCGCGGAAAACCCCGGUGGUACAGGAUGGGCCCGCGUCUGAUUAGCUGGUUGGCAGGGUAACGGCCUACCAAGGCGACGAUCAGUAGCCGGCCUGAGAGGGUGGACGGCCACACUGGGACUGAGACACGGCCCAGACUCCUACGGAAGGCAGCAG
rnacentral:rRNA from 1 species